rnacentral:rRNA from 1 species
UACGUAGGUGGCAAGCGUUGUCCGGAUUUACUGGGCGUAAAGGGCGUGCAGGCGGUUUGUUAAGUCUAGGGUGAAAGCUCCCGGCUCAACUGGGAGAGGUCCUUGGAUACUGGCGAACUUGAGGGAUGUAGAGGAAAGUGGAAUUCCCGGUGUAGUGGUGAUAUGCGUAGAUAUCGGGAGGAACACCAGUGGCGAAGGCGGCUUUCUGGGCAUUUCCUGACGCUGAGACGCGAAAGCGUGGGGAGCGAACCGG